rnacentral:rRNA from 1 species
UACGUAGGGGGCUAGCGUUGUCCGGAAUCAUUGGGCGUAAAGAGCGUGUAGGCGGUCCGGUAAGUCCGUUGUGAAAGUCAGGGGCUCAACCCUUGAAUGCCGGCGGAUACUGUCGGGCUAGAGUCCGGAAGAGGCGAGUGGAAUUCCCGGUGUAGCGGUGAAAUGCGCAGAUAUCGGGAGGAACACCGGUGGCGAAGGCGGCGGCCUGGGUUGACACUGACGCUGAGGCGCGAAAGCGUGGGGAGCAAACAGG